GACGAACGCUGGCGGCGUGCUUAACACAUGCAAGUCGAGCGGUAAGGCCCUUCGGGGUACACGAGCGGCGAACGGGUGCGUAACACGUGGGCGACCUUCCCUCCACUCUGGGAUAAGCCUGGGAUAACGGGACUAAUACCGGUUAUGACCACCGCAUGCAGCUGCGGGGGGGGCAAGUUCUGGCGGCGGGGGAUGGGCCCGCGGUCUCUCAGCAUGUUGGUGGGGUGAUGGUCUUCCAUGGCGACGACGGAUAGCCGGAGUGAGAUGGUGAGCGGCCACGCUGGGACGGAGACACGGCCCAGACUUCAGCGAGAGGCAGCAGUGGGGAGGCUUGCGGGAGGGGCGGAAGCCUGACGCAGCAACGCCGCGUGGGGGAGGACGGCCUGCGGGUUGUAAACCUCUUUCGCGAUCGACGAAGCUCGUACGUCUGGUACGGGUGACGGUAGGUGGAGAAGAAGCACCGGCCAACUACGUG
rnacentral:rRNA from 1 species